UACGUAGGGGGGCAAGCGUUGUCCGGAUUUAUUGGGCGUAAAGCGCGCGUAGGCGGCGCGGUAUGUCGUGCGUGAAAUCUCCCGGCUUAACUGGGAGGGGCCGUGCGAAACUGCCGGGCUUGAGGUCGGAAGGGGAAAGUGGAAUUCCGGGUGUAGUGGUGGAAUACGUAGAUAUCCGGAGGAACACCAGCGGCGAAGGCGGCUUUCUGGUCCGAUACUGACGCUGAGGUGCGAAAGCGUGGGGAGCGAUCCGG
rnacentral:rRNA from 1 species